AACGAACGCUGGCGGCAUGCCUAACACAUGCAAGUCGAACGAAACCUUCGGGUCUUUUGGCGCACGGGUGCGUAACGCGUGGGAACCUGCACUUAGGUUCGGAAUAACUCCCCGACAGGGGUGCUAAUACCGGAUAAUGUCUUCGGACCAAAGAUUUAUCGCCUUUGGAUGGGCGCGCGUUGGAUUAGAUGGUUGGUAGGGUAAAAGCCUACCAAGGCCACGAUCCAUAGCUGGGCUGAGAGGCUGGUCAGCCACACUGGGACUGGGAAGCGGCCCAGAAUCCUACGCGAGGGAGGAGAGGGGGACAGAGGAACACGGGGGAAGUGCUGAUGGAGCACGGCCGGGUGAGUUAUGAAGGCCUUAGGGUUGAAAUGCUCUUUUACCCGGGCAGAUAUUGACGGUACCGGGACAAUAAGCCCCGGCUAACUACGUG
rnacentral:rRNA from 1 species